rnacentral:rRNA from 1 species
UAUAUGUUAAGUGGAAAAGGAUGUGGCGUUGCCCAGACAACUAGGAUGUUGGCUUAGAAGCAGCCAUCAUUUAAAGAGUGCGUAAUAGCUCACUAGUCGAGUGACACUGCGCCGAAAAUGUACCGGGGCUAAACAUAUUACCGAAGCUGUGGAUUGUCCUUUGGACAAUGGUAGGAGAGCGUUCUAAGGGCGUUGAAGCAUGAUCGUAAGGACAUGUGGAGCGCUUAGAAGUGAGAAUGCCGGUGUGAGUAGCGAAAGACGGGUGAGAAUCCCGUCCACCGAUUGACUAAGGUUUCCAGAGGAAGGCUCGUCCGCUCUGGGUUAGUCGGGUCCUAAGCUGAGGCCGACAGGCGUAGGCGAUGGAUAACAGGUUGAUAUUCCUGUACCACCUAUAAUCGUUUUAAUCGAUGGGGGGACGCAGUAGGAUAGGCGAAGCGUGCGAUUGGAUUGCACGUCUAAGCAGUAAGGCUGAGUAUUAGGCAAAUCCGGUACUCAUUAAGGCUGAGCUGUGAUGGGGAGAAGACAUUGUGUCUUCGAGUCGUUGAUUUCACACUGCCGAGAAAAGCCUCUAGAUAGAAAAUAGGUGCCCGUACCGCAAACCGACACAGGUAGUCAAGAUGAGAAUUCUAAGGUGAGCGAGCGAACUCUCGUUAAGGAACUCGGCAAAAUGACCCCGUAACUUCGGGAGAAGGGGUGCUCUUUAGGGUUAACGCCCAGAAGAGCCGCAGUGAAUAGGCCCAAGCGACUGUUUAUCAAAAACACAGGUCUCUGCUAAACCGUAAGGUGAUGUAUAGGGGCUGACGCCUGCCCGGUGCUGGAAGGUUAAGAGGAGUGGUUAGCUUCUGCGAAGCUACGAAUCGAAGCCCCAGUAAACGGCGGCCGUAACUAUAACGGUCCUAAGGUAGCGAAAUUCCUUGUCGGGUAAGUUCCGACCCGCACGAAAGGCGUAACGAUUUGGGCACUGUCUCAACGAGAGACUCGGUGAAAUCAUAGUACCUGUGAAGAUGCAGGUUACCCGCGACAGGACGGAAAGACCCCGUGGAGCUUUACUGUAGCCUGAUAUUGAAAUUCGGCACAGCUUGUACAGGAUAGGUAGGAGCCUUUGAAACGUGAGCGCUAGCUUACGUGGAGGCGCUGGUGGGAUACUACCCUAGCUGUGUUGGCUUUCUAACCCGCACCACUUAUCGUGGUGGGAGACAGUGUCAGGCGGGCAGUUUGACUGGGGCGGUCGCCUCCUAAAAGGUAACGGAGGCGCUCAAAGGUUCCCUCAGAAUGGUUGGAAAUCAUUCAUAGAGUGUAAAGGCAUAAGGGAGCUUGACUGCGAGACCUACAAGUCGAGCAGGGUCGAAAGACGGACUUAGUGAUCCGGUGGUUCCGCAUGGAAGGGCCAUCGCUCAACGGAUAAAAGCUACCCCGGGGAUAACAGGCUUAUCUCCCCCAAGAGUUCACAUCGACGGGGAGGUUUGGCACCUCGAUGUCGGCUCAUCGCAUCCUGGGGCUGUAGUCGGUCCCAAGGGUUGGGCUGUUCGCCCAUUAAAGCGGUACGCGAGCUGGGUUCAGAACGUCGUGAGACAGUUCGGUCCCUAUCCGUCGUGGGCGUAGGAAAUUUGAGAGGAGCUGUCCUUAGUACGAGAGGACCGGGAUGGACAUACCUCUGGUGUACCAGUUGUCGUGCCAACGGCAUAGCUGGGUAGCUAUGUGUGGACGGGAUAAGUGCUGAAAG